AAGCCAUUUGGGUUGGCUUGUGUUUUGGUAUGGUUUGGCAUGUAUAUAAGUUGCCUUAUACGAUUGAGGUAUGGCUUGAUAUGGUAGAAUGAUUGAAGGUAAAAUUAUAGUUAUAUGUCCAUUUGUAUAGGUGUUUUUGUGAGUUGGGGAAUUGGUACCUUGUUGUGUAAGACAUGUAUGCCUAAUUAUGUUAGAAUUUGAAGGGCAUUUUUA
rnacentral:lncRNA from 1 species